CCUUUCAUGAAUGUGACCUUCCGAAUUAGACUAUUUACCGGAUUUGUAAUCACAUAAGCAACACGACGGGUGCCACAUGUGGAGCAGGAUCUGCUUACCCUUCCGGAGCACCUGAGAUCACCCCUAGUUUUUAGUGGGGUUCGUGUUGUUUAUUCUUUAGUUUUCUAUGUUGUGUCAUGUGUACUAUUGUUUUUCUGUUUGUCUUUUUCAUUUUUAGCCAUGGCGUUGUCAGUUUGUUUUAGAUUUAUAAGUUUGUCUGUCCCUUUGGUAUCUUUCGUCCCUCUUUUU
rnacentral:lncRNA from 1 species